ACGUAGGGUGCGAGCGUUAAUCGGAAUUACUGGGCGUAAAGCGUGCGCAGGCGGUUAUGUAAGACAGAUGUGAAAGCCUCGGGCUUAACCUGAGAAGUGCAUUUGUAACUGCAUAGCUAGAGUGCGGCAGAGGGGGAUAGAAUUCCGCGUGUAGCAGUGAAAUGCGUAGAUAUGCGGAGGAAUACCGAUGGCGAAGGCAAUCCCCUGGGCCUGCACUGACGCUCAUGCACGAAAGCGUGGGGAGCAAACAGG
rnacentral:rRNA from 1 species